AUGGAGGGUGCCGGCUUCGGGCGCGUCGCGCUGAGCUACUACGUGCUGCUGCAAGCGCGGCGGGAGGAGCGCAUGGAGGGCACCGGCUUCUGGUGCGUCCCGCUGAGCUACUACGCGCUCUUGCAGGCACGGCGGGCGGCGCAGGGGCUGGGCUGCGACGGCUUUAAGGUCCGCGUGGAGAAGGGCACCUUCUUCCUGUGCUGGCAGGACCGCGCCCUCUUCUCCGUCUCCGCCUGGCGCCGCCGCCGCUUUGACUGA
rnacentral:rRNA from 1 species